ACUCCUUACUCCUAUUCGUUUCCCUGGUUGUCUGUCUCAUGCUCCACCCCAUUUGCUGGCUCUUUCUACACCAGAUCUUAUAUAAACCCUCCCACACCCUCAAUAAACAGCCAUUGCACCCGAUCUUCAAUCUCGAUUCGGGCUCUUUGUGCAGUGUCACAGUCCCACUCCCCUCUCCCCCCGACCGUGGCACAAUUCUAAUAGAAUGCUUUUCUCUCAUGUUAAGGUGCUCUGAGUGGAAGCACUGUCCACUGUUCUCAAGUGGUUUAUGAAAGAGAGUACCUUAAAGGAUGAGCAGGUGCAAGCAUGAUGGGAGGUUUCAGGCUGGUCAUUUGCAGAAUUCCUAUUCUUUUUAGUCUUUCUAAUGCCAGAGUGCAGCUUAGUUGGAUGUACAGUGACCCCACAGAGUCUGAUUCACCUGCUCAUAUGCUGCUCUCUCAAUGGUUUGCAUGGGUAUUUGUUGGAGGUGCCCUGAUGGAGACCUAUGAGUGGUAGAGAGAAGUUAGUAAAAAGAAACCAGAAGAAGAGGAAGAAAAAAUAUUGGAAUGUACUUACACCGUGGUGCGCUGAAUAUGACUGUUGGGACCACGAGAGUGUUUGUUUCACUGUGCCUUUACUCCGUUGUGCAAUUGUUUUAUUAUUAGUAUAUUUUAUUAUAAAAAUGCG